rnacentral:rRNA from 1 species
UACGUAGGGUGCGAGCGUUAAUCGGAAUUACUGGGCGUAAAGCGUGUGCAGGCGGUUAUGCAAGACAGAUGUGAAAUCCCCGGGCUCAACCUGGGAACUGCAUUUGUGACUGCAUGGCUGGAGUGCGGCAGAGGGGGAUGGAAUUCCGCGUGUAGCAGUGAAAUGCGUAGAUAUGCGGAGGAACACCGAUGGCGAAGGCAAUCCCCUGGGCCUGCACUGACGCUCAUGCACGAAAGCGUGGGGAGCAAACAGG